rnacentral:siRNA from 1 species
CCGAUUGAAUAUUUGAAGAUGGA